AGAUCAGCAGUAAAAUAGUCUAUAUUGGCUUUAGUGAAUCUCCCAUAUCCUGAACAGAACUCAACUUUAGAAUGAGGAUCUUCUUUAUUGCACUUUUGGCCGCCAUGGCGUGCCUGGCCUUUGCCGAAGAAGCCGCAAAGAAGGCCGACGAAGCCGCUAAGAAGGGCGAUGCAGGUGCUAAGGACGGCAAGGACGAAAAAGUAGAAGGACGAGGUGGAUUUGGCUUCCACCAUGGAGGCGUCGGUCCCGGCUUUGGCGGUGGCUACACAGGGGGCUUCAGAGGCGGCAGAGGAGGUUACGGCGGUGGCUACGGGGGCGGGCAGUACGGCGGCGGCUACGGUGGAAGCUACGGUGCCUCUCACGGUGGCAGCUACGGCGCCUCUCAACACGGAAGCUACGGUGCCUCUCAGGGAGGAAGCUACGGUGCUUCUCAAGGCGGAGCCUAUGGUGCUGGCGGAUUCGGUGGUGGCGCCGGCGGAUACGGUGGUGGUGCCGGCUACGGUAGCGGUCAUGGUCUUGGCGGAGGACACAUUGGUGUCGGUCCCGGCCCAAUUGGUGGCCCCGGUCUUGUUGGAGGUGGCCCCGGUCUUGUUGGAGGUGGACCUGGUCUUGGUGGACCUGGUCUGGGAGGUCCUGGUCUUGGUGGUCCUGGUCUUGUUGGAGGUGGUGGUUACGGAGGAGGUGCCUCCAGCUUCGGUCAGGCCGCUGGUGGUCAGCAGGGUGCUUUCAAAGCCGGUGCCCAGGGAUUCCAGCAGGGUUCCGGAGCGUUCGAUGGAGGCAGCUCCCAUAAGAACGUAAUGGGCUACAACAACCAGCAGGGCUACAGCUCCAGCACUGGCUUUUCGUCUAGCGACAGCAAGAGUUACGGAUCCGGACAGCACCAGGGAUCUGCUGGAUUCGCUGGUGGAGCCGCUGGUCAGCAGUCUCAGUUCGGAAAGAAGACUCAUGGCACCGUUGUUGGAGGAGCUGGUGGUUACUGAAGGAGGAAAACAGGAUGUCUAGUCUGCUUCAUCCCUGCUGUAUAUGAUCAACGCUCUGAAGUCUACCAUGGUGGCAUUACGCAAGUUGAAAGAUGCGAUCCUGACACAGCAAUCAAUGUGAACUACUAUUCUAAAAGGAUCCAGCACUUUGAACACGCGAGCAAGAGUUUAUCACCCGGAAGCGCCAAAUUCAUUUUUAUAUUUAAUAAAAUACAGUCAACAUUUUUUACCUUGUA